rnacentral:rRNA from 1 species
CCUACGGGGAGCAGCAGUGGGGAAUAUUGCACAAUGGGCGAAAGCCUGAUGCAGCAACGCCGCGUGAAGGAAGACGGUUUUCGGAUUGUAAACUUCUAUCAAUAGGGAAGAAAGAAAUGACGGUACCUAAAUAAGAAGCCCCGGCUAACUACGUGCCAGCAGCCGCGGUAAUACGGAGGAUGCGAGCGUUAUCCGGAUUUAUUGGGUUUAAAGGGUGCGCAGGCGGAAUGUCAAGUCAGCGGUAAAAUUUCGGGGCUCAACCCCGUCGUGCCGUUGAAACUGGCGUUCUUGAGUGAGCGAGAAGUAUGCGGAAUGCGUGGUGUAGCGGUGAAAUGCAUAGAUAUCACGCAGAACUCCGAUUGCGAAGGCAGCAUACCGGCGCUCAACUGACGCUCAUGCACGAAAGCGUGGGUAUCGAACAGGAUUAGAUACCCCGGUAGUC